UACGUAGGUGGCAAGCGUUGUCCGGAAUUAUUGGGCGUAAAGCGCGCGCAGGCGGUUUCUUAAGUCUGAUGUGAAAGCCCACGGCUUAACCGUGGAAGGUCAUUGGAAACUGGGAGACUUGAGUGCAGAAGAGAAGAGCGGAAUUCCACGUGUAGCGGUGAAAUGCGUAGAGAUGUGGAGGAACACCAGUGGCGAAGGCGGCUCACUGGACCGGAACUGACGCUGAGGCGCGAAAGCGUGGGGAGCAAACGGG
rnacentral:rRNA from 1 species